UUGAGAUCAAGAAGGCAGAACCUAAGAAACCCUCAAACCCAGCAUCAUCUGGUCAUGGCUAUGGUAGUGAGUCUAGGGGACGUGGAUACAGUGAUAGUUACGGAGGCUUUGGCAAUUCAUACAGCAGUUUUGGCAGUGGCGGUUUUGGCCCUGCUUCUUAUAGGUCUUCUGGAGGUAUGGGUGGUAGGUUUGGUGACUAUGGAUAUGGUGGUGGUGAAUAUGGUGGUAGAUAUGGAGACUUUGGCGGUGGUGAAUUUGGUGGUUACCGUGGAGAUCCCUCACUCGGCUAUUCUAGUCGCUAUGGCUCUUAUGCUGGUGGGUUUGGUGGAGGUGCUGGUGGAUAUGGUGGCAGUGGACUAAUGGCAUAUGGCCGUGGAGCUAGUUAUGGGGGUUAUGGUGGGGCUGGCUCGGGUGCUGGUUAUGAUUCUGGCCCUGGCGCUGGUUAUGGUGGACCAGGAGGCUUAUACGGAAGUAGGGCAGGCUAUAGUGGCAGCGGCCGUUACCAUCCCUAUGCCAGGUAGAUUAUCUUAAGCAUUUCCUAGGGGUUGCAUUCAGGCUCUUGGUAAUGCAUCUUUGGCUCAGAGUUGAGUAGAUAUGGGAGCGCUAGCAAGCAGACAACGUCUAGAAGAUUGGGAGAACCCUAGUUUGUUCCUGCUUACUAUUGUGGGACCUGAGACCCAUAGUUAAAAUCUCAUGAUUUGUCUUAGUUUAGACAUUUUCUCCUUUAUGAACUAUGAAUUAGCUAGAACCUUCUCUUUUGGUGUUCUUUUAUGUAUCUUUUGUAAGUUUGGUUUCUUUAGAUGUUUGUUACUCAGGCUCGUAUCUUUAUUUAGUGAGUUCAUCUUUCUGGUCUUGACAAGGUAGAAGC
rnacentral:lncRNA from 1 species